AGAACGAACGCUGGCGGCAUGCCUAAUACAUGCAAGUCGAACGAACUCUUCGGAGUUAGUGGCGCACGGGUGCGUAACGCGUGGGAAUCUGCCCCUCGGUUCGGAAUAACAGUUGGAAACGACUGCUAAUACCGGAUGAUGACGAAAGUCCAAAGAUUUAUCGCCAAGGGAUGAGCCCGCGUAGGAUUAGCUAGUUGGUGAGGUAAAGGCUCACCAAGGCAACGAUCCUUAGCUGGUCUGAGGAGUGUAGAC
rnacentral:rRNA from 1 species